ACGUCCCGGUUUAAGCGUGUAGGCGUGCCCCUUAGGCAAAUCCGGGGGGCUAAGCUGAGGCGUGAUGACGAGGAACCACGGUUCCGAAGUGAUUGAUACCAAGCUUCCAGGAAAAGCCACUAAGCUUCAGUCUAGAGCUGACCGUACCGCAAACCGACACAGGUGGGCAGGAUGAAAAUUCUAAGGCGCUUGAGAGAACUCAGGAGAAGGAACUCGGCAAAUUAACACCGUAACUUCGGGAGAAGGUGUGCCCCGGUAGCGUGUAGAGACUUGCUCUCGAAGCGCGAUGGGGUUGCAGUGAAAUGGUGGCUGCGACUGUUUAAUAAAAACACAGCACUCUGCAAACACGAAAGUGGACGUAUAGGGUGUGACGCCUGCCCGGUGCCGGAAGGUUAAGUGAUGGGGUGCAAGCUCUUGAUCGAAGCCCCGGUAAACGGCGGCCGUAACAAUAACGGUCCUAAGGUAGCGAAAUUCCUUGUCGGGUAAGUUCCGACCUGCACGAAUGGCGUAACGAUGGCCACACUGUCUCCUCCUGGGACUCAGCGAAGUUGAAAUGUUUGUGAAGAUGCAAUCUACCCGCGGCUAGACGGAAAGACCCCAUGAACCUUUACUGUAGCUUUGCAUUGGACUUUGAACCGGUUUGUGUAGGAUAGGUGGGAGACUGUGAAGCCGGGACGCUAGUUUCGGUGGAGUCAACCUUGAAAUACCACCCUGAUUUGUUUGAGGUUCUAACCUUGGUCCGUGAAUCCGGAUCGGGGACCGUGCAUGGUAGGCAGUUUGACUGGGGCGGUCUCCUCCCAAAAGGUAACGGAGGAGUACGAAGGUACGCUUAGGGCGGUCGGACAUCGCCCACAAAGUGCAAUGGCAAAAGCGUGCUUGACUGCGAGACCCACAACUCGAGCAGGUACGAAAGUAGGUCAUAGUGAUCCGGUGGUUCUGUAUGGAAGGGCCAUCGCUCAACGGAUAAAAGGUACUCUGGGGAUAACAGGCUAAUUCCUCCCAAGAGUUCAUAUCGACGGGGGAGUUUGGCACCUCGAUGUCGGCUCAUCACAUCCUGGGGCUGUAGUCGGCCCCAAGGGUAUGGCUGUUCGCCAUUUAAAGUGGUACGCGAGCUGGGUUUAAAACGUCGUGAGACAGUUUGGUCCCUAUCUGCCGUGGGCGCUGGAAAAUUUGAAGGGGGCUGCUCCUAGUACGAGAGGACCGGAGUGGACGAACCUCUGGUGUACCGGUUAUGACGCCAGUCGUAUCGCCGGGUAGCUAAGUUCGGAAGAGAUAAACGCUGAAAGCAUCUAAGCGUGAAACUCGCCUUAAGAUAAGAUUUCCCGGAGUCUUGAACUCCCUGAAGGGUCGUCGAAGACCACGACGUUGAUAGGUCAGGUGUGGAAGCGCAGCAAUGCGUUAAGCUAACUGAUACUAAUUGCCCGUGUGGCUUGAUCU
rnacentral:rRNA from 1 species